CAGAGGCAGGAUGGAGACUGGCCGGAAAACCCCAUUCUUUCCAUCACAGCCUUCAUAGACCUGUUCAGAGGGCUUUCCCUUCCCAUCAUCCCAUGCGUUUGCCUCCAGGGAAGACGGUUUCCUCUGGAAGAGGACCUGAAAGUAGAGGACUGGGAUGCGUGUCCCAGUGCACGUCAGAGACCUGCGUCAGGACAGUUGCCUGUUGUUCACAGAGUGGCUUUAGCAGGGAUGGGGAUGAUACAGCUCUGAGUGGUUUCCUGCCAGACACCGAACUUCAUACAGGAUUAAAAGCAUGUACGGCCACACCCCGAUUUGUAUCUGGAUCUGACCUCAAGUCAAAGUGUGCAGAUCAUCUAGAAGACUGAGGCUUGCUUCUUGACGUGUUCAUGAGGGCAUUUCAAAAGGGCUGAAAAUGUGGCUGGGAUCCUACGAGAAUCCGAUGAAGUCGAACAAGACAGCGAGCUGAAGACCAGCAUCCGGCCUUUCCUGGCCCAGGAUGACAGGAAUUGUUCUGCUGUAGCUCAUUUUCCCUGCCCAGAUGGACAGAUCCUCUGGAAGUGUGGGCUGACACUAAUCUGCCCCCAUUAAGGUGUUGGCCACAAUACACUUAAGGUAUUGUGUGUAUAAAGUAUAUACAGCAACACAAAAGUAACUAAUUCACUUAUGUGCUGGGUUUUUAAUAGUCACUUGGGACUCCAUUGAAACUAAAGAGCAAAAGAAAUAAUACAACUGAAGCCUCACUGGCUAUACAGAGAUAUGGUGAGACAGAUUAGGAGAGGGCCCAGCAAGCAAGACAGCUUAGGGCUAUCUGGGGGAAAGACCCAUUCACGUCAGUGCCAUGGUCAGAACAUUUACAAUGGGCAUUAUGCUCUGACCACACAUUCUGGUCUUGUUUAGUGAUCCUCUGUCCUUAUUUAAUGAUUCUUUGGUGGCAUUUGCCAUCUAGGAUAAAUGCUUGGCCACCUCUGGGCAAGUUGUUUGUUUUGCAAAUUACAACAGUCUUUCUGAUUUGUUGUUUAAAUUCCAUGAA